rnacentral:rRNA from 1 species
GACGUAGGGGGCGAGCGUUAUCCGGAUUCACUGGGCGUAAAGGGCGCGCAGGCGGUUACGUAAGUCCGGCGUGAAAUCCCAUGGCUUAACUGUGGAACUGCGUCGGAUACUGCGUUGACUUGAGGAUGGUAGAGGCCAUUAGAACUAGCGGUGUAGCGGUGAAAUGCGCAGAUAUCGCUAGGAAUGCCGGUGGCGAAGGCGGAUGGCUGGGCCACUCCUGACGCUGAGGCGCGAAAGCUAGGGGAGCGAACCGG